GACGAACGCUGGCGGCGUGCCUAACACAUGCAAGUCGAACGGAGCAGAUCCCUUCGGGGGUUUGCUUAGUGGCGAACGGGUGAGUAACGCGUGAGGAACCUGCCUUUCAGUGGGGGACAACAGUUGGAAACGGACUGCUAAUACCGCAUAAUGCUUUGAGCGGCAUCGCUUGAAAGCCAAAGAUUUAUCGCUGAAAGAUGGUCUCGCGUCUGAUUAGCUAGUUGGUGAGGUAACGGCUCACCAAGGCGACGAUCAGUAGCCGGUCUGAGAGGAUGAACGGCCACGAUUGGGACUGAGAUACGGCCCAG
rnacentral:rRNA from 1 species